CUGGUCGGGAGAUGUUCUGGAUAUAGAAGGAGAGCAGGCAGGGGUCUGCAAAAAGACAGGUCCUGAGGGAGGAAAGAGCCCCUUCAGGAGAAGGAGGAUGCCGUUGUGUAAAAUUUUUGCAACUCAUUCUCACCCUGACACUUGGUCUGCUGCUUCUACCCGCCCGCUGCCGAAUCCUUUCUUCCGUGCCGGGUGUCCGUGUGUGUCCUCGUCGUCCUGCCUACGCCUGCUGCAGUGCAGCCCCAGCCCCAGCAACCACGCUUUCCUCCGCGACCGCGACCGCGCCACCACGUGCAGGCAAACAGAGGAGGACGGACGCACCGCACGCAUGCGCAGCACGACUUGGCACGCUGGCCGAGUCGCGCGUGUGUGUGCGUCACUGACUAGAGACCCUCUGGCUGGCAAGCCACUAGAGGGCCUCUUUCUGGCUGUUCUAGACUAAGCGAGCGACGGAGCGAGCGAGCCUCAGCCAAGGGCAGGCGCAGUGAGCAGCAUGAAAGGCGCCCGCCGCAGCGCCCGCCGCCAAGCCAGGCCACUGACUGGCCACCAGCAAAGCAAUGGGGGGGGGCGCGCGGGUGGCACGGAAGGGACCGCCGAUGCACUCCCUUGACUGCUCCAGCGCUGCUGCACUGAGCAGGAGAAAUUUGUAUUAAAUUAAAAAAAAUUUUUUUUUUGGUUA